UUUAUCCCUCUACAAUUUUUUUGCGGCCCAAGAUAAGCGAUAAGUUGUGCCACUCUUUCGACCAAGUCCGAAUUGUCAUGAUCGGUUUCUCUCUUUUCAUUUAUUUAUUACCUUAAUUUAACUAAAAUUCGCGUAUUGUUUAAAUAAAAACGAUUGUGAGUGUGGCAGCAAAGACAAAAAGGCAAUCACUACAUUCCUACCUAACUGGAGGACUUCACAACUCUGGUGGUUUAGUAUCAAAUGCGAAUCUGCAUAAUCAAGAUCAAUUUUCGUUUGAGCUACUUACAAAGCGGAAACGAAAACGGCAACCUCAAGGGCGAACAGAAACGGAAACGGGAUACAGAAACGAAGUCACCAUCACUUGUUUCAAUUAAAUUUUUUUUACUAAGUUAAAAAGAAAGCCAAGGUUUUUAUUUCAACAAAUAUUUGUAAUUUUAUUCAAUUAUUUUGUUUCGGGAGUGUUCGGAUGAAGUCAAUCAGAACGUAAAAUACAUUUUCGAGUUCGGGAUUUUUAAAAUUAUGUGUUUAGUGUGUGUAAAAGAAGGAUCACAUCAUCCGGGUUAAAGGAGUUUUGAAAAAUAUACGAAGGAAAAUUGAAAGAAUGAGAAAAAAAAGAUAGGAAAAGAAUUAAAUAGGAAAGUGCAAGGAAUAAAGACCGGAAGCUAAGAAGCUAAGAUAACUAGAAUGGCGUAUAGAAUUUAUAGCGAAAUGUAUGUAGAAAUAAAUUCGUAACAACGAAUAAAGAAUAAAGCCACGCAUAAGUCAUGAUCUGACAAACAGAGAGACAAAACAGAGAUGAACUGAUUCAAGAACAGGCAAAAAGUGAAAAUAGAGUGGUUUUUUAGUGUGUAAUUAGUGUAAUUAAAAAUUCAAGCUGUGAUCGGAAAUUAGCAGAAUAGCAUUCUCGUAGUUGUUUAUGCGUUUAGUCACAAAUUUCCACUCUUCUAUAACAAAAUGUUUUGAAAACUGAACAAAAACGUUUCGGAAUUUAAUGAUUUGAUGAAAAUAUUACUUUGUCGUGUACGACUAUGAUUUAAAAAUUAGCGAGCACCCAGUAAAAGAAUGUAUUAUACGUCAGAUUUGGUUCUUGUCAGGUAAACUUGGCAAAUAUUAUUAGCAAUGGAAUUUAAAAAUACACAGCAAUAAAAAUUCAUUCACAGGAAAACUAUAUAAACAAAAUUCCAAACCAAGCUUCGGAAACAAAUGGUUUAAAACAUAAUGUAAUAAUUUCCAUUUUAGAAAAUCAAUUUCAAACUAUGAAACAUAUAACACAGAUUGUUAUAAAUUCGUGUAAUCAGCACCGUAUACCAAUUUAAUUACUAUUUUAAAACACGAUUUAAAUAAACUGAGUUUAGAACUUGAAAAAGCUGGAAAGGGACUGGCCACCCCUCUUCCAGAAUUUAUCAUGUUCUAUCAAACUCACUUAAUUCCCGCGGCAUGGUCAAAACUACAAAAUUAUAUCAUUAAUCCAAGACUAAACAUAAAUACUCCAAAACUCAAAAACAUUGUAGAGGGGGUAUUUAAUUUAAAAAAAAUGAAGUUAGUUUGCAAAAAUAGUCAAAAAAGGGCAAUGAAAUAAACUUGAAAUAACGAUCGGGGCCCCGAAACAAUUCUCAGAAAACCUCAGAACAGAGAAAAAGUACACCCUAUAAAUGGAAGACGUUCAGGAGAUUGAUAAAAUAUGUGGGGAGAAAAAGAUUAGUUGCAAUUAUCAGGGAGUCAAGUUAGGGAACUAUGAGUUUGCUUGGGAAUUUAUGUUAAUAAUGCGCGUAUUAUUACAUAAAUGCUCUUGCAAUACUCACCAACAACAAGACAAAAAAGUUUAAUUUUGAAAAAAAAGGUGCUUUUAAUGUAUUUAGAGUAUUAACCCCACAAAGUUCUUAACAUGCAGCGAAAAAAACUAACAAAAAAUACUUACAAUUAAACCAAUAUUUUGUUUAAUCUUUAUUAUCUUCGUAAAAGUAGCAUUCAAGAUUUUUAUAAGUGCGAGUUAAUAACAAUAUGUUAAUAAUAACUCUGUGUUUUCGAUACGUGGCAUCAACCAGGACCGAAGAACCAUUAUAUUCUAGAUAAUUGUCUAGAUCGUCGUGGAACAUUCUUUCAUUAAAACAUAUAGUGAAUCAAGUGAAAAAAAAAUUACUUAAUUACACAGUGUCAUUAGCACGUCGCUGUUCAGAUUUUGUCGUUUAUUUUCGAGUGCCUAACAGUCAUUUAAUUGACUCAAAAAAAUAUCUAAAUGUGUUUUUUUAAUAAAUAAUAAGUGCAGUGCAUGUUGUGAAUUUUCAAAUUUCUAAAAGUUAUUAUUUUAUGAUAGUGCGUGAAUUUUAAAAUUUUGAGUAGUGUGUGUAAAGGAAGCAUCACAUCAUCCAGAUUAAAGGAGUUUUGAAGAAAUUACGAAGAGAAAGUAAAGGAAAGAGGGAAGAAAAAGAAAAGUUAUUCAAAGUGCAUGAAAAAUUUUCGAGUUCGGGAUUUUUAAAAUUAUGUGUUUAGUGUGUGUAAAGGCAGCAUCUCAUCAUCCAGAUUAAAGGAGUUUUGAAGAAAUUACGAAGAGAAAGUAAAGGAAAGAGGGAAGAAAAGUUAUUCAAAGUGCAUGAAAAAUUUUCCAGUUCGGGAUUUUUAAAAUUAUGUGUUUAGUGUUUGUAAAGGAAGCAUCUCAUCAUCCAGAUUAAAGGAGUUUUGAAGAAAUUACGAAGAGAAAGUAAAGGAAAGAGGGAAGAAAAAGAAAAGUUAUUCAAAGUGCAUGAAAAAUUUUCGAGUUCGAGAUUUUUAAAAUUAUGUGUUUAGUGUGUGUAAAGGAAGCAUCUCAUCAUCCAGAUUAAAGGAGUUUUAAAGAAAUUACGAAGAGAAAGUAAAGGAAAGAGGGAAGAAAAGUCAUUCAAAGUGCAUGAAAAAUUUUCGAGUUCGGGAUUUUUAAAAUUAUGUGUUUAGUGUGUGUAAAGGAAGCAUCUCAUCAUCCAGAUUAAAGGAGUUUUGAAGAAAUUACGAAGAGAAAGUAAAGGAAAGAGGGAAGAAAAGUCAUUCAAAGUGCAUGAAAAAUUUUCGAGUUCGGG